rnacentral:rRNA from 1 species
AAAGUGGUAGCAAUACCAUGAGUAAAGUGGCGCACGGGUGAGUAACACGUGACUAACCUACCCUGGAGUGGGGGAUAACUGAGGGAAACCUUAGCUAAUACCGCAUAAUACCUACGGGUCAAAGGAGCAAUUCGCUUUGGGAGGGGGUCGCGGCCGAUUAGUUAGUUGGCGGGGUAAUGGCCCACCAAGACGAUGAUCGGUAUCCGGCCUGAGAGGGCGCACGGACACACUGGAACUGAAACACGGUCCAGACUCCUACGGGAGGCAGCAGUGGGGAAUUUUGCGCAAUGGGGGAAACCCUGACGCAGCAACGCCGCGUGGAGGAUGAAGUCCUUCGGGACGUAAACUCCUUUCGAUCGGGACGAUUAUGACGGUACCGGAAGAAGAAGCCCCGGCUAACUUCGUGCCAGCAGCCGCGGUAAUACGAGGGGGGCGAGCGUUGUUCGGAAUUAUUGGGCGUAAAGGGUGCGUAGGCGGUUUGGUAAGUCUCUUGUGAAAUCUAUGGGCUCAACUCAUAGUCUGCAAGGGAAACUGCCGGGCUUGAGUGUGGGAGAGGUGAGUGGAAUUUCCGGUGUAGCGGUGAAAUGCGUAGAUAUCGGAAGGAACACCUGUGGCGAAAGCGGCUCACUGGACCACAACUGACGCUGAUGCACGAAAGCUAGGGGAGCAAACAGGAUUAGAUACCCUGGUAGUCCUAGCCCUAAACGAUGACUGCUUGGUGUGACGGGUACCCAAUCCCGCCGUGCCGUAGCUAACGCGUUAAGCAGUCCGCCUGGGGAGUACGGUCGCAAGGCUGAAACUC